GCAUCGGUGGUUCAGUGGUAGAAUGCUCGCCUAGCUGCAGCGCGGGCGGCCCGGGUUCGAUUCCCGGCUGCUGCA
rfam:Lingula anatina scaffold351, whole genome shotgun sequence.